CUUUCUUAUCAUCCCCCGCCCCCCCCCACCCAUCUUGGGUUCUUGCAGAUUUCUGCUUUCGUUUCUUCAAUUUUUCUUAGAUCUACUUCUUCCUUUCCCUCUCUUUCAAUUUUUCUCUUCAAAUUCUCUUAGAUCUGGGCUUGAUCUACGUAUCGAUACUGCUUUUCACCAGUUUUUGCGAUUAUCUGGUUAGCUAAAAUUGUUGAUUUGCGAGUCUCCGUUUAAUUUCUCCUCCUUGGGUUUUGAGUCUAUUCUGCUUGGCGAGAUCAUUAUUUUCGUGCUUUUUGGUCGGUGCUUUCCUGAUUUCUUACACCGGAUCUGUGUCUCAUGCCACUUUAACAACGAAUCUCAUGACAUCGUUGCAAGAAUUUCUUUCUUCUUCUUCUUCUCCUUCUUCUCUGUUUUGUUCUUCACUUGGCCUCUGGAGUUCGCGUGCAAUAUCAUAUUCGCCGUCGUUCGCCUCGUGGGAGAGAUACCCUCUGCGGAUCUGGGAAAUUGGUUGAUUUAUUCGAGCCAUCGAUCGCGAUCUGGUGAUAUUCUUUAUUAAAUCCAUUUUUUGUUUUUUGUUUUUUGUUUUUUUUUCUUGCAGGGUUUUUCUCCGUCUCUAUAUAUGUUGUCGAGCGAUGUUAUCUCCCUUGAAACGCAGCAUGGCUGUAGAUCCGGUCGUUACGGUGAUAGCGUGGUGGUUGUACAGAUCUAUUGGCGUUGGAGAAGAUUGGCCUUUAUUCUAAAAGAUCAUGAAGGAAAAUAUGAAGAACAUGUCGAUCUAUCGAGUCUCCUUGUAAAUCAAGGUAGAUGUGGUCUGAUCUGAUAUAUGUUCUGAUCUUAAAUGGUGGGAGGUUCGAUAAGGUGUUGCUGGUUCUCUGUAAAAGAUGUAAGAAGGAAAGUGCCCUGUUGUCAUCGGACCUUUGCCAUGUCAGGUGCGCUUGCAUGGCAGGUCAAAAAACCCUAAUAAAAUUCCAUCUUUUUUGGUGUUUUGGGGGGAUCGCACGGGGUUUUUGCCCGGGGUCUCUCCAGUUGUGUGCCGUCUCCUGCUCUAUUUUUUCGAUUGUUGAAUUACUUACAGAAUCGGCCAAUCGCACAUCUCAACGACGUUUCACUAUCAUCAAGAGAUCACAGAAGAACUGAUACGUCAUCCUCGACUCAAGCCUUCCUCGUCACGGCGGUUGUCAGAAUUGGAGAUUGGUGGCUCUGCUGUUGCUCUUACGAUUCAUUUAUUGGAUUUGUAUCUUUGGUCCACUGAACGCAUACUCUGGUUUUUAACUGAAGUCACUCCCCUAAAUUGCUGAUCGGAUGGCGCGUAUUACGGGCGGACUAGUUACGGUAGUUAGUCGAGCCCGUCUCUGCUGCUCAUGCUCCUGCUACAGCUCUUUCUGAUGAUGUGUAGUAUUGCAGCUGUACAUGGCGGCGACGUAGACGUUGUGUCAUCGUUGCAAGAAUGCUUUCUGCAUGCUACUUUGUAGGUAAACCAAGGUGAAUUCAAGCCGAUAGCCAAACAGCAUUAAACUCGGAAAUAAAUAGGCGUUCUAACGGUUAUGGUAAUUUCUAUUAUUCGUCUAUUUCAGUUAAAAUAUAGAAGAGGGUUCAAAGUUGGUAUUUAAAUUAUUCAUUUGAUAGAUGGAUUUUACAUUGUGGUUUUCUUGUUUGUAAUAUCAUUUUAUAUUGCACAAUUCUGUUAUCCAUGUUUCAUGUAUAGUUGUUUCCUUCUUCUUGCCUUUUUAGUUAAAUGUUUUGGGAGUAUACCAACUCUUAUGUA